GUCCUCGUGGAUCAGUGGUAGAUCAUCCUUGGUCAUUCAUAUAUUUGACCCAUGCUAAAAGGAAGGUGUGGGUUCGAAUCCCACUGGGGGCA